UACAGAGGUCUCAAGCGUUGUUCGGAUUCAUUGGGCGUAAAGGGUGCGUAGGUGGCGCCGUAAGUCGGGUGUGAAAUCCUGAGGCUUAACCUCGGAACUGCAUUCGAUACUGGCGUGCUUGAGGACUGGAGAGGAGACUGGAAUUCAUGGUGUAGCAGUGAAAUGCGUAGAGAUCAUGAGGAAGACCAGUGGCGAAGGCGGGUCUCUGGACAGUUCCUGACACUGAGACACGAAGGCCAGGGGAGCAAACGGG
rnacentral:rRNA from 1 species